UUCCGGUUGAUCCUGCCGGAGGUUACUGCUAUCGAGGUUCGACUAAGCCAUGCGAGUCGAAUGUAGCAAUACAUGGCGUACUGCUCAGUAACACGUGGAUAACCUACCCUUGAGAUGGGGAUAAACCCGGGAAACUGGGUAUAAUACCCAAUAGAUCUCGACUGCUGGAAUGCAUCGAGCUCCAAAGCUCCGGCGCUCAAGGAUGGAUCUGUGGCCUAUCAGGUAGUAGUGGGUGUAGUGUACCUACUAGCCUACGACGGGUACGGGUUGUGAGAGCAAGAGCCCGGAGAUGGGUUCUGAGACACGAAUCCAGGCCCUACGGGGUGCAGCAGGCGCGAAAACUUUACAAUGCUGGAAACAGCGAUAAGGGGACCUCGAGUGCCAGGUUACAAAUCUGGCUGUCGUGAUGCCUAAAAAGCAUUGCAUAGCAAGGGCCGGGCAAGACCGGUGCCAGCCGCCGCGGUAACACCGGCGGCUCGAGUGGUAACCGUUAUUAUUGGGUCUAAAGGGUCUGUAGCCGGCCGGAUAAGUCUCUUGGGAAAUCUGGCAGCUUAACUGUCAGGCUUUCAGGAGAUACUGUCUGGCUCGAGGCCGGGAGAGGUGAGAGGUACUUCAGGGGUAGGGGUGAAAUCUUGUAAUCCUUGAAGGACCACCAGUGGCGAAGGCGUCUCACCAGAACGGACCUGACGGCAAGGGACGAAAGCUAGGGGCACGAACCGGAUUAGAUACCCGGGUAGUCCUAGCCGUAAACGAUACUCGCUAGGUGUCGGCAACGGUGCGACCGUUGUCGGUGCCGUAGGGAAGCCGUGAAGCGAGCCACCUGGGAAGUACGGCCGCAAGGCUGAAACUUAAAGGAAUUGGCGGGGGAGCCCCACAACGGGUGGAGCUUGCGGUUUAAUUGGAUUCAACGCCGGAA
rnacentral:rRNA from 1 species